rnacentral:rRNA from 1 species
AGAGGUCCCGCCUGCCCAGUGACACCCAGUUCAACGGCCGCGGUAUUUUGACCGUGCAAAGGUAGCGUAAUCACUUGUCUUUUAAAUGAAGACCUGUAUGAAUGGCAUAACGAGGGCUUAGCUGUCUCCUCUCUCCAGUCAAUGAAGUUGAUUUCCCCGUGCAGAAGCGGGGAUAAUUACAUAAGACGAGAAGACCCUAUGGAGCUUGAGACGGUAGGGCAGCCCAUGUUAAACACCCCUCUAUACCGGGCUAAACUAAAUGGCCCCUGCCUUAAUGUCUUCGGUUGGGGCGACCCUGGGGAAUACAAAACCCCCACGUGGAACAGGAGCACCCCCCCCCCACCAACUCCUCCAAACUAGAGCCACACCUCAAAUUAACAAAACUUUUGACCAAAAUGAUCCGGCAAUGCCGAUCAACGGACCAAGUUACCCUAGGGAUAACAGCGCAAUCCCCUUUUAGAGCCCAUAUCGACAAGGGGGUUUACGACCUCGAUGUUGGAUCAGGACAUCCUAAUGGUGCAGCCGCUCUUAAGGGUUCGUUUGUUCACCGAUUAAAGUCCUAAGU